rnacentral:piRNA from 2 species
UAAAAAGAUAAUGUGGUUAGGCAUCUGAU